ACCGCACAGGUCGCGCGCGACGACGCCGCUCGCUCGGGGCUCUCUUCUCUUCUCUCUUUUCUCUGUCUUUCUCUGAUGCGGCGUCGCUGAGGCCGAUGCGGGCGCCGCGAUGCCGCGUUGCCUCAUGGCUAAGAAGUGGAAGGCGGCGGCGGCGGUGGAGCUCGGAGAUGAGUCCGAGGAGGAGAUCGACGUGGUGGGCGAGGGGCGGCGGGGGACGGGCAGCCCCGCGCCCGCCGCCACCGCGCCCGGCCCGCCGCCGCGCGACCCCGAGCCCACGCUCCUCUACAACGGCUACACCGAGGAGCAGCCUUCCACUCAGUUCACGGCGGUGCGGCCCCGCGAGCUGAGCCCCGGCGCGCCGCCUGUCUCCUACGCCCUUCUGCAGCUCACGCCUUCCGACUCCUCGCCCCUGUUCCACCUGCAGCUUCAGUCUUCUUCUGUCCCCCCUCCCGCUCCGCCCCCGCCCCCGCCGCCGCCCCCGGCCCCAACCAACGGCAAGUCCAUCGCCAUGUGCUACACGAGCACGGGCGCCGUGCUCUCCCUGCCGCCCAAGAAGAAGGACAUCUACCGGCCAUACUGCCUCGAGCAGCGGCCCGAGGAGGACCUGUACGCCGCACACGCCAUCCUCGACCUGAGCCAGCACGCCGUGUACCUGAGCACGCCGCGGCCCGCGCCGCCCGCGCAGCCCCCGCCGCCGCCCCCGCCGCCGCCGCCGCCGCCCGACGCCGAGCCCGAGCCCGAGCCCGAGCCGGAGCCCGAGCCGGCCGGCGAGCGCCCGCGCGAGACCGUCGCCUACACCUACGACGCGUUCUUCGUCAGCGACGGGCGCUCCAAGCGGCGCAACUUCGUGACCUCGCCCGUGGAGCCGCGCGAGGCGGAGGGCCACAAGGGCAAGUACACGUGCGGUGAGUGCGGCAAGCGCUACGCCACCUCGUCCAACCUGUCGCGCCACAAGCAGACCCACCGCAGCCUCGACUCCGUGGCGGCCAAGCGCUGCGCCGAGUGCGGCAAGGCGUACGUGUCCAUGCCGGCGCUGGCCAUGCACGUGCUCACGCACCAGCUGUCGCACGUGUGCGGCGUGUGCGGCAAGCUGUUCUCCCGCCCGUGGCUGCUGCAGGGCCACCUGCGCUCGCACACGGGGGAGAAGCCCUACGGCUGCGCGCACUGCGGCAAGUCGUUCGCGGACCGCUCCAACCUGCGCGCGCACAUGCAGACGCACUCCUCCGACAAGAACUUCGAGUGCUCGCGCUGUCACAAGAGCUUCGCGCUCAAGAGCUACCUCAACAAGCACCAGGAGUCGGCGUGCACGCGCGACGACGGCGCCGCCUCGCCCGCGCCCGCCUAGCCGCAGCCGCAGCCGCACCCAAUCUACUAAUCAUAUGAAUUUAGUUUUUAGACUUAUACUUUGAAUUUACAAAUUUGUAGAGGCGCUCGUCGCCUCCACUCGAGCAACGUUUCGCGAACAACGAAUCACGUACGACCCCGUAGCAGGCACUAGGCCGCCACUCGAUCGUCCCGCUAACUUUAAACUUGAUUGUACAUAUACUUGUCGAUAAAAUAUACCCAUAUACACAUAGAAGUAUUAUAAAAAGUGAAUGAAAAAACGAAUAUCUUUUGUAGGUGAUUUUUACAACCGCUAAGUAGGUUAGAGAAUUAGUCGGUAAGUGUAGCGUGGAUAGGAGAGGAGAGGUGGGGAGGAGUGCGACAGCGCCCCGCGCCCCGCGGCUCUGCCGAGCUAUCCGUCCGAGAGUCCCCGCGCCCGGCAGUGCCUUACGCCGUCUCCGCGCCUGCUCCCCGCGCCUCCAGCACCGCGGAGACCACGAGGAGCAUGUAGUCAGCUAGUAGAACCGACACUAUGUUCACAAACUGAGGCUAUGGCGGGCCGCGCUUCACCCCUGCCUUGUAUCGACCGACUCACGCGUAUCAAUUACCGGGCCGUAAUGAGUUACCCUCCUUUUUGUAACUUAACGGUGCCGCGCGGCGAUCAUUACACGCGUUCGAAAUGCAAGCUAAUAGCUAUUUUAGAAAUAUAUAAGAAAGAUAAAACGCCCUAAGUACAUAUAAAAAAGCCUUCAAGAUUGAUAUAAAAGUCGUUGACUUGUACUUAAAAUAUCACCAUUAUCCGUAUUGGAUAAACACGAGUCUCCAUUUGACGUCUAUAUUCGUAAGUGGGUCGCUGCAGGGUGCCUUCGAGAAUGCCUUUAGAGCAAGUGUUUAUGGACACGUCUAAAAUAAAUUGGCAAUAAUAUAACGUAGGCUAAGUUAGGGUUAACAGAUCUAGAUUUAACGAGUGCGGGCGAGAGUCGCCCGCGGUGAUGGGUAUUCAAAAGCAAUAAUAAAUGUAGAUCGUAAAUAAGUCGCGCAACGUUGUCAAUGCAACAGGCUUCGACGUUACGUUUAUAGAUACACAGUGCUUAAAUACAGUGACUAAAUCCUACCUAUCCAUAGAUAAUCCUGGCACUUAUGCUUUUAUAAAAGCAGUAGGUAUAUGAGUGCAUCAAACAUCUUACUCGAUAUCUAUCCGAAUACCGAAUAUAGAUUUUUUUAUACAAGUAAAAGUCUACCUUUGUAAUAUUCAGAGUGAAUAUGCUUGAACAAUGCUAACAAAUAAACGAAAGGAGAUUAUGAGACAAUUCACUGUAUUUGAGUAUACUGUGGUAGAAAUCGGUAGAGCUAAUAAUACAAUUUAUUUCGAUGCAUUUUUUAGAAAAUUAAGGUCAAUGUUUUGUAAAAAAAAUACUUCAAUAUUAACAUUAAUUUCUUCUAUAAUUUGCAUCGGAUUAGUUUGUGGAUAGCUGCCCUGUAGCCUGUAGAGCGUAGGGCCUUGUAGAAUGCGGUAUACUCGUACAUCAAAGUAUUCACAGCCAUUUCAAAACAAUAAACUUCUAAUUAUAAACAUUGUAAAAAUAAUUAUUAACUUAUAUUAGAACAUAUUUUCCGAAAAAAAAAUGCCAUGGAAUUAUGAAACGGUUCUACAAGGCCAAAACCACACGUUAAUUAUUAUUUGGUGCCUCGCUAGUCAAUUCCCUGUCGGUGAAAAUAUGUUUUCCCAGUCAAUUAUGAAAAAUAUAUAUUGAAAAAUCACAAAAAACAUAAUAUAUUUUUAAAGUUACCGGAAGAAUAUAUUCGCCCCCUCUCUGAAUAGAAUAUAAUAUAUUCGAGAGGUAUAAUUACGAUUUUAUUUCGUUUGCCUGCGGAGGCACUGCUCUAUUUAUAAUUUUUAGUCGCUAUAUUCCCUUUUCCCAUAUAUUCCUACUAGUCAUAGUAUGUAGUGCCACAAUAUAAAUCUACCCUCAUAUAAAUAAUUCCUAAUGUUCACUUUUAUUCAUUUAUUUUUAGAUAUAGGCCUUAUCGUUGCGCGUGCAAAAAAGCAAUAUAAAGUAAAUUAAUAAGCAAUAUUAAUGUAGGAUUUACAUAAUGAUAGGAUUUAUGGAUUAUUAAAUUGAAAUUUUGUAGUAUUAAAAUAUAUUUUUGGUGCUUUGGAGUACUGUUAUUAGACAGAGUAACGAAUAAAACAUCGAAUAGAUAAAAAAAUAAAUAUAUUAUUGUUUUACGGAUAUUGAAAGUUUUGUUAAAUUGUAAAUCAAACUAAAAGUUGUUUCUGCUAGAAUGUUAGGUGCGGAGUUGUUUUUCUAUCGAUACUACUUUACUAUCUCAUUACUUCUAUAAAAAAACAAGUUUAAUCGUAAAUUUAUCGCGGCUGGUUGCGACUUAUGCGUCUUAAUAAGUUCAAACCAGAUGCAUAAGUUAUAAGUACUAUCAAGUUGGGCUAUCCAUAGGCCCCUAAACCAAAUAUCACCUACCUAUACCUUACACGUUGCAAAAGUGGAAUUGUAAACAGAAAAGGGCUGAUCCAGCUGGUCAUUCAAUUUUAUUCAUUCAUCGGUUCAUUCUAUCGGGAUGCAAAUUUAUUACCGAAACAAAGUUAUUCAGAAUGACCCCUUCAACACCCCCACAGAGAAUAGAAUAGAAUAGAAUAGACCCCUUGAUUCACCCACUUUCAGCUUACUAUAUAUACCCAUUCUUCAACACCCUGUAUACGUAAGUACAUAAUAUACAGAAAUGCCAAGAAAAAAAAUGCGAUUGCUCAGAUAGUUACAUGAAUCUUAAAAAUGUUUACACUUCUACCCCCUCUUAGUAGAUCAUACUGUAGGUACUCCUUGCAUUCUUCAAGUUUCAUAUUCCUUGUCGUAAGUAGGAAAGUCUUAAAAUUGCUAUGAAAAAAUAAUCGAGAUAUUUUAUUCAAAUAUUUAUAUUAACGUUAUUGAUACAUUUUAGCGCUAAAAUAAAAAUUGUUUAAGGAAACCAUCUUAUACAUACUAAAUAUACAUUUUUGAUGUAAAUAGACUCCUCUGUACAAGAUGCCCUUCUUUACAAUUUCCGUAGUCUUAGGUACCUAAAUAAAUAAAGAAUCUAUAUACUAAAGAAGUAGAUGAAACUGUUUAUUUCGAUGGUUUUUUUCUUAGAGUCCAUUCUGAGAUGGCAAAGUUAAAAUAAACCGCUGGAAAGCAGUUUCAAAAAACAAAAAAAAAAUAUUGCGUGAUAUUUUGGAAACAUGCACAAUUUUAGGAAAAUAUUUUUUAAAACCAGAUAAAAAAUUAAUAAGAUAGAAGAAAAACAAUAAAGUUGUUACUCAUAAUAUUUAGCGCCUCGCUGAAGCAAUAUUUGAAGUAAGAAACUAAAAGCAAUGUUUGUGAAAUUCAUAAGCAAUAAUUUAGGUUAUAUUUAAAAAAAAGUAUAUUCAUUAGUCAGUAUUACUUAAAACGAAAUGUCCAAAUUAGUAACUAGUGCAACUACAACUAGAGCUAAGUAUACAUAAAUAGGUCCUAGUUUCUAAUAGCAAUAAACUAUAUCCUAUACUAGGUACAUAGGUAUAGCCUAAAAUAGCAAUAACUUUAAGACUAAAGUAAUGCAAAAGCAAUAUUAAUUAUAUUUAUGUAUUUAUAAUUUGUUGAAUAUAUUGCGGAAGGGGAAACUUAAGUACAUUUAGACUGUCCAUUGGUGAUAAAAGACCAUAUUUUAUUAGUUAUUAAAAAGACUUACAUGAUUGUUCCGUGUAAGCUUCGCAAACGGUACAGAGUUAAUUACAAACUUAUGAAAAAUAAAUGCCUGAUACCUGUUAUUUUUCCCACAUCACAAAUAUAGUGCUUUAUGGCAAUUAUAGUAUUCGCUAGCAUAGGUAUAAAUAUUAUUCUUACCAUCUUCCAAGUACUUUACAAAACGGUGUCUUACGGUGACGUAUUGUUAAAUUUUAAUAAAUACCUGCAUACUACUCGUAUCCCACAAGACUAUGUCGGUUAUAGGUAGCUAUGUCACCUACCGUUGUCGCUCUCUAUCGCAAACUUGUUUUUGACAACGAUUUUCGGAUUCAAAUUAAAAUUGAAUUUGACACUAAUUACUUCGUAAAUGUUACUUCGUUUUGACUUCGCGAUAGGGUCAUUAAAUUUAAAGUCUACGUAUUAUAGACGUUUAGUAUAAUUUACGUAAAAAUAGUUUUGAAAUUUACGUAGUAUAUAUAUAUGAUUGAAGUCGUGUUAUCUGAGUAUGUUAUAAAUCAUCAGACUCAUCAGUUUUUAGGCGUUUAUUUCGUUAUGAGAAAAGGGUUGAAAAGUGAUGUUGGUAUUACAAAUAAAAGUCCAUUUAAAAAGGUACAACGAAUAUUUUUGUGUAAACUAAAGAUACAACGAAAACAUUUCUUAAGCUUAAGUUCAUAAGAAAAUUACUGCAUUAAACCUCAUACUGUAACGAAAUGUUGUUAUCAAAAUGUCAGAACGGGUCGUCUUUUUCUAUACCUACAACGAAAUUUA